GACAAUGUUGCAAUAUUGCAUCUUCCUCCUCUUCUUCAUAAAAAUUCCAUUCCCACAUUUACUCGAUUUGGCAAGUUUUUGACCGUGUCUUGUGUCAUCAAAACACUUGUGUCUUGUGCUUUGUCAUGACUGCCUUGUCUUGAUGUUCUCAAAGUGUUGCUUAUUGUAGCGAUCCUCUGGCGAAAUAGCCGAUGUGCUGUGAACAAAUUGCUGCUGCCCAGUUACUGUUUCAUGCGCAGGUUGUAUUUGCUGUUGCCCGGAAACAAAAGAAUGGAGGAUAUUAGUACGCGUCAAAUUGUAUUUUGCAGCCAUUGCAUUGUUAUUUCCAGCAGCUAUCGAUGAAAUCUCCUUCGAAAUUGCUGCAUUAUUAUGCGCUAGUACGCUAUUCUUUUUUCCUUAGUUUGCUAUUUUUGCAUGUUUCGUUGUUGCUUGCUAUUGAUAAUUACCCAAUUUGCUAGCAGUACUUCAUUCAUAUUCUCGACUGCUACCUUAGAAUUAGUUUUCUAAAUAUAUUAUCUUGCUACUACUUAUUAUCAAUACCUCUUUUAUAUUAUCUGUUGUUAUUUUCUAAUUAGUUUUCAUAUAUUCUCCCGAUCUGAAAUCAGGGUAGUGCAUUCUUGUGGUUCAAGAGUUGUAGUUGUAGCUAAGAAGAAAUAUCGAGAGUCUCUCGACUCGUCCAUUUCUGAGCUUGUUCAGCUCGACAAGUAGCGGUAGUUUCGACGUGGAAAAGAGAGUAUAAAAUACAAAAGAUGGAAAAUUUCUAACAUGGUGCUGAUGUGGCGCUCGUGAAAACGCCUUAUAUUGUGAUUGGAUGGUUAGCAAGAAGGCACAUCCUGACAUGUUUGAUUUAUAUGAAGAUUAUGUUGUUGCUGCUUCAAAAGUUGUUAAUCAUCUCCUCAUUAAUGGUGAUUACCAGCUCCUUAUUUUGCCACUAUUGCUCGACGAUAGAUUCGUCGGAAAUUAGAGUUUGUUCUUAAAUAAUGAUGACGGAGUUUGGGGCUGAGCAACUUGAUUUUCUGUAAAUAUAUUUUUAUGUAUUUUCAAUGUAUCACACUGUAUUUUCAAGUAUUUUCUUGUAGUCAUUGUCUGUUUUUCAUUGUAAUUCAAUGUAUCUCGCUGUAUUCCAUGUAUUUCAUUGUAUUCACUGUCUUUUUUUUAAUAAUAUUUCAAUGUAUUCUAUGUAUUUCAUUGUAUUCACUGUCUCGCACUCUCGCUAU
rnacentral:lncRNA from 1 species